CCUACGGGAGGCAGCAGUGAGGAAUAUUGGUCAAUGGCCGGAAGGCUGAACCAGCCAAGCCGCGUGAAGGACGAAGGUGCCAAGCAUUGUAAACUUCUUUUGUCAAGGGACAAAAUCAGGCUCGAGAGCCUGACCGAGGGUACUUGAAGAAAAAGCAUCGGCUAACUCCGUGCCAGCAGCCGCGGUAAUACGGAGGAUGCGAGCGUUAUCCGGAUUUAUUGGGUUUAAAGGGUGCGUAGGCGGGCUGUUAAGUCAGCGGUAAAAGCCCGGGGCUCAACCCCGUACUGCCGUUGAAACUGCAUCCCUUGAGUGCGCGAGAAGUAUGCGGAAUGCGUGGUGUAGCGGUGAAAUGCAUAGAUAUCACGCAGAACUCCGAUUGCGAAGGCAGCAUACCGGCGCGCAACUGACGCUCAUGCACGAAAGCGUGGGUAUCGAACAGGAUUAGAUACCCCAGUAGUC
rnacentral:rRNA from 1 species